GAUGAACGCUGGCGGCGUGCCUAAUACAUGCAAGUCGAGCGGACAGACCAGGAGCUUGUUCCGCUGACGUUAGCGGAGGACGGGUGUGUAACACGUGUAUAACCCACCUGUAAGACGGGUAUAACUUCGGAAAACCGGCGCUAAUAGCGGAGAAUAUACUGCACCGCAUGGGUGGAUGGUGAGAUACGGUGUUGCGGUAUCUAAUAGAUGCAUCCCGGCCGGUUUAGCUAGUUGGGAAGGUCAAGGCUUACCAAGGCGACGAUGCGUAGCCGAAUUGAGAGGGUGGUCGGCGACACUGGAACUUAGACACGGUCCAGACUCCUACGGGAGGCCGCAGUCGGGAAUCUUCCGCAAUGGGCGAAAGCCUGACGGAGCAACGCCGCGUGAGUGAUGAAGGUCUUCGGAUCGUAAAACUCUGUUAUUAGGGAAGAACAAAUGUGUAAGUAACUAUGCACGUCUUGACGGUACCGGAUCAGAAAGCCACGGCUAACUACGUG
rnacentral:rRNA from 1 species